rnacentral:lncRNA from 1 species
CCAGCACUGGGAUCGGGGCACUUGUUGGAUCUAGUUGUCAUUUGUGGGCCUUCUCCUUCUUCUCGUCACCAAUAUUUGUUCUUCCCUGACGGCCCGCUUCCUCUCUAGUUGUCGGAUUCCCUCUCUUAACUGUUGGAGUCGUCGUCGAUGAAGGCAGAACGGCAUGGCAAUAUUGGAUGAAGGUUUGUCGGGUUAUUGUGAAGCCAUUGGUCCUCCUUCCUCUCUUGGGAUAAGUUCAUUUGACAAUCUCCUCCGGUGGUCAGUUUUGCUUCUUUUUCGUCAGCGACAGGAUGGAUUUCUCUCGUUUUGAAAUUGAUAGCUUGUUGGAAUUUCUUUUCUAUUUUAUAAUAAUUUUUUUUUCACUUCUUUAUCUUUUUUUAUACUCUCUUUUUCUUAAUAAAUUUAAAUGAAUUUUUCCUCCUUUUACAUAAAAAAAAAACUCCCUCUAACCCUUUAUAAAUCGGAAUCCGCUCCGCUACCUUUCUACCGCAGGCCCUAUCCUGAACUUAUUUGAAGAUAAAGACCAUGGCACCCCCUACAACACUCGUUGCCGUUACACCCAUCUUUACUCUAUCUAACCGCAAAGGAGUGAAUCAGUUCACAAAGCCCACCCUCUCCCAGUUCAAUGCACUACCCUCCACCUCUGCCAUCCCUCUUAUCGACCUCCAAGGCCUGAACGACCCAUUGGCUAAAGCUAGCAUCAUAGAGGCCGUAGACAAGGCCUGUGCUGGCUGGGGUAAUAAUUGCAGGGACAUGCUAGGUCCUAUGCGUCACCGAGUCUAUGAUUUCAAUGUUGGUUUGUACAUUGUCUAUGUCUACCAUAUUUUGUCAUCAGGUCCGUUCUAUGAGUCUGUAAAUUAAUAAUGUUCAUCUUAUCAGAGU